GCGGCACGAGAGCGCAGAGAAAAAACAGCGUCCAGUACGUCCAGCUCGACUCGAACCCCAAGACAUCCUUCAUAAUCCUCCCUUUCAUUUUUUUUCUUUUAGACCCUACCAAGUCCACGGCAGACUCUGUCAGGAUUUCCCUAUGAUUCCAGCCUUGAAUACUCCACCAGUUGGCCGGCAGCAAUGAAGAAAGAAAUGCACGUUGGUUUGGAAUUACAUGAGGUACAAAGUCAUUUUUCACAAGCUGCACAUGCAGGUGUUGAACCUAAUGAAGACGAUCUUAAUCUCUGCCAAAGGAUAGGAUGCAUUUGCAGGUUUCAAAGGACUGUGGGACAUAAAAAGAUAUUUUGAAGAUUACAAACAACAUCGGAUUGAUUGACUUUCAUUGUAUGGACAAAGACUAAACAGUCAGUUUUUCCACAGAAGAAAGAAAUGCAUAUUGAUGACAUAAAUGAUCAGGUUGGCAGGAAGGCAGGCGGACAACACAGGUGGUGGUCUGGGAGGAGGACGGACUACCAGGAGGAAGACGACAGACAGAGUCCAGGGACUAGACGAUGGAGGGAGGAGCCAUGGAGGAAACAGUAGGGACUUGGAGCAUGCGGCGCCAGGUGGGGCCCAGGCCACAGCCGUAAUGGUGACGGAGAUUUACCGCUAAUCAAGGAACCGGCUUUACUGACGAGAUGCGCAUGCAUAUCGCAUGCGAUAUAUCGCCCAGCCCUAACUCCAGGGGGCUGGCCAACGGCAGCGGAGCAGGUGGCAGAGGAGCCGGUUGAUGAGACGAGACAGAGAGCCGAUGAGCCAGGGUGACAAGGAGGAUCCGGAGUAUUGAGUCGAGGGUAUCCAUAAGGAAAAAAUGGAAAACAAAACACUGAACAAAACGUGGAAAACAAAACGGAGGGGAAACACGCAACUACACCUUUUUUUCUUGUUGAAGGUCGGGUGUUCUGUCACGGUGCUACUGUGGGGGGUAAAGGAGAAUGGAGACGUAGGAGAAUAACACAAGGUAACACAGAUAAUUGACGUGACCCUUAUAAAGCAAUAUUCUGCAUGAUCAUAUUCUACAUACCCAAUCCUACCCAAUACGUAAACUUAACAACUACUUUAC